GUGUGUGUCUGUGUCAUUGUGGUGUGUCUCCGUAUGUGUGUGUGUGUGGGUGUGUGUCCGUGUCAUUGUGAUGUGUCUCCGUAUGUGUGUGUGUGUGGGUGUGUGUCCAUGUCAUUGUGGUGUGUCUCCGUGUGUGUGUGUGGGUGGGUGUGUGUCCGUGUCAUUGUGAUGUGUCUCCGUAUGUGUGUGUGUGUGUGGUGGUGUGUGUCCGUGUCAUUGUGGUGUGUCUCCGUAUGUGUGUGGGUGAGGGUGUGUGUCCGUGUCAUUGUGGUGUGUCUCCGUAUGUGUGUGUGUGUGGGUGUGUAUCCGUG
ensembl:lncRNA